ACCCCACAGAGCAGCAGGUCAGGCUCCUCCAGAGCCGCCUUUCGCAACCCUCAUUUCCAAAUAUUCUCCUUCUGGCCAGAAAUGGAUUUUGUGCAGAUCCAGCCCCGGCGCUGGGAUAAACCCACGGGCAGGCAGCCAGAGGAGCCGUGACAGCGAACACUGACUGAGAAUCUGCUCUGCUGUUUCCAAAUAAACGAGGAAAGGCACCGACAGAAGAGCCCGGUUUGAGAACGCUGCCUCUGCUCCAGCCCAGCCUGUCCUGCUCGGGAGGGGCUGAGCAAAUAACUCAGAGGAAAACCAGCUCCAGAAUCGGAGCAAUAAAAUGCCAAAAUGGAAAGUGAGCUGUUCAGGAGAGCUUGUCGUUGAAUUUUGAGUGUGGAGACUUUGGUUUCCAACAUCCCUCAGCAUCCAGCCUUUGGUAUUUUGCUUCUGGAAACCAAACAAAGCCCAGCACCCCCAGAACGUCCCAGGCUGGCUUGAGGCUGGAGCAUGAUUUAUAAAUAUUGAUUGUGUGCUGGAGGCUCAAUCCCGCAGGGUGCUGAGCACACACAGAGCUCUCCCUGCCCUUUGGACAGCCCCAGAGAGAGCCCCUUGAUGAAUGCACCCCUCAGUUGUUCCUGCAGGAGGAAGGGCCAAGUGCUGUUAUGGUUCUGUCCCCUCACACACAAGAGCAGAUUUAUUUGGAAGGCACACACACAGUGGAAGUUGCAAGGUAGAGGGGCAAGGAGAAGGGGAAUGGCUAAACUGGAAGAGAGCAGCUUCACUGGACAUCAGGAGGAAAUCCCUGCCUGGCACAGGUGCCCAGAGCAGCCCCUGCCGUGCCCGAGGCCAGGCUGGAUGGAGCUG